AUUUCAAAGAAUAAUUUAAUUAAAAUAUUAAUUUUGGAGAUUAAAAAUAAAGAAUAUUCUUUUUCUUUGA
rnacentral:tRNA from 1 species